CGUUGUGCUAAAGGCUUGAGUCACAAGGCAGGUGGCUCAGAGGUUGACGCAGUGGUCUUGUUCCAGCGGCAGUCGCUCUGCAAAUCAGGCAGGUAUUUUAGCUCAGGGGCAGGUCACCUGGCCCCACACUGUGGGAGAUGACAACCGUCCAGUGGGUUCUCUAUCUAAAACCCGUGUUGCACUGUUUGUUUCUUUUUCUUUUUUUUUCUUCGUGUAUCCAACAAGAGCAGCCCAUCACCCACACAUCUUGCGUUUCUGUCCUGGCUUCCUGACUGAUCACCACUCCUUUUGUGUGAAACCCAGCAUAUGUGGACGUUUGAGGAAAGCCUGGAAGCCUCCCAUGACUGGCUGUCACCACCUCUCCAGGGUUCAGAAUCCACACAGGCUCUCAGGCCAAGGGGAACUGUGUGCUUGGCACAUGGUCUGCAGACUCCUCGAUUGUUACGUUCAAGGCCCUGGAAGUUUGACCCUAGACUCCCUCCCUGGCCUUAGUAUAGAUGAAAGAACACUGGGUAGGGAGUCCAAAGUGGGAAACAGCUCUCUGCCUUCUGCCUCUGAUGGAAGCCAUGAAAAAUGAACACAGCACCCAGAGAGAAGGAAACACCGGGGCAGGGAGGGGCGUCGGAGCCAGAUGACCGGCUGGUCCUAGCCCAGCAGGCACCAGCUGGACCAGCUGGAUCCUGGGGAGGCUCUCAAGGGCCUGCUGGUCACACACCUGACCCCCUAACAGGGCCCCAGGGUCUGGACGGCCAUUGGCCCGGGAGUCCAGAGCAAAUCCAGCUGCCUCUCUGAGAGCUAGAACCCAGAGCCCGGACCUUCCUGGGAUCUCCAGCACUCAGAGGCUCUGAGGACAGGGGAUCUACUCCCUGCCUCUGCCCCGAAGAAGGCCAGGCCAUGCGGGCACAUGCCCUCGUGAAGGUCGACUGCAAGCUGGGCAGAAAUUCGACACAUCCCUUUGGUCCGUUCAUGUUCCUAACAGUCCUAUGAUGUCAGCAUCAGGACUCCCAUUUUCUAGGAGGGAAUUGGCACUCAGAGAGGUUAAGGAACUUGCCCAAGGACGACCAGCCAAAACAACUGGCAGAAGGGGACGAUUUAUUUUUCAUUAAUGCCAUUACUGCUUACUUACAUAAUACAUGAAAGCAUCCUCUUAAAGCUAACAUUUCAGACGGAGACCCGAAGAGAAACCGAGGCCCAGAUCUGCUAGCCUCCAAACCGCUCAUUCUUCUACUGCCACUGAUGACUCCAGCUGGCUCUACUUCACCGCCCGCCCUUCUUUAACUUUUCAGUAUAAUUUUGAAGAAGUCAUGCGUGCACGUGACUUAGGGACAGAAGUCGAUAAAGGACACAUGCUGGAAAACAUGGUCUCCUCCAACCCCAGGCUUGUUGCCUCAACCAAGGGAAUCAUGCUAGAGGCUCUGGGGUUUCCUCCCAGAGCCGUUCUGUCACUGACAUACAUCAUGGCCUUGGCAACGUCUGGCUGGAAGAUUCCCACCCUGGAUAUCCACGUGGUUCAUCCCCCUACCCAGUUGCCCGUAUUCGGGGAGGGCGUCCCUGCCCUUUCCAGCGUGCACACGGUACCACCUGUCCUGCCUCCUGUCUCCCUCCCCCGAGUGAUCCUUCUCCAUAGCACUGACUCCCUUCUGCUUUUGAUCGUGUUUAUCAUCUGAUGCCCCACUCCCUGAGCCAGAGCGAAAGCUCUUCCUCGGCAGGGGUUUCCACACGCUGUGUUCACUGCCACGGCCUCGGUACCUAGAACAAGGACCCACAUGGGUAACAACAUAAACGUAAAAGCCGGCCCCGGCCAUUAUACAGGUGGGCAGACCCCACCCUUGACACGAAGGGUGGCAUCUUAUACACGCUGUUCUCAACCUUCUUUCUAAGAACAUACGGUUCAGCUCAAAGAGAUUGUCACUCCUGGAGAACAGGACGGAGCCUUUUCUACCUCUUGUCUCUCCAAGGAUCCAGCCUGGCCUGGGGGCCACACAGGACACAUUCAGAGCACAGCAUGGCCAGGCUGGAAACUUGGCCCUGACCUCACACCACAGACCAAAAGAAAAAAAAAAGAAAAAAAAAAAAAAGCAAAACAAUACAUUGCUUAGAAGAUGCUACAGGAGAAGAUCUCCAUGACCUUGGGGUUGACAAAGAUUCUCAAAGAAGACUGCAAAUGCUAACCAUAAGGGAAAGUUGAUAAAUUUUCUGACAUUAAAGCAAAGAACCUCUGCUAACCCCAAAUACCCCAUUAAGAGAAUGAAAUAGGUGAGGCCCAGGGUGGUGGGAGGGUCUGGAAGAGAUAGAAGACAACACAGCACAUUGUGAUGCCCAGGUUCAAGGGAGGGCGCCCCAAGACGGUCUGCAGUGAGCUAGGAGGGCUUCUCAGGACAGACGGAAGGGGACUCCAUCUCACUCCCCCUCAGCUCUGGCCUCCUCCUUUCUAAGAAAACUAGACACUUAAGACAGACAGAAGACCCCCAGCCCGCCCUCCCCUUUCUGCCCCAUGCGGAGAUAACCAAGCAAGAAAAAAACAAAUUAAAGAGCCCAGGAGCCUGGCAGGGCCUUGGUAAGUUUGGUUUGACAGGGCAACAGCAUUUAACA